GGCUCCGUAGCUCAAUUGGAUAGAGCAACGCUCUUCUAAAGCGUAGGUUACUGGUUCGAACCCAGUCGGAGUCA
rnacentral:tRNA from 1 species